UUGGCACAAAUACAAAAAGUUUAAAACUUUUUGACACUUUUCCCCAUUUACCUUUAUUUCGUUUCAACUUUGAAUUCCCUGUCAUGAAAAAAAAAGUUGGGACAAUUACAUGCAACAAGAGUCCUAAAAUUUGUGUCAAUCCCGCACUUGAGACCUAAAACUUUGAAUUCAUGCUUAAUAAGUCCUAAAGAUUGUUUUUGUCCUUCACGUUAGUCUUUUCAUUAGCUCCAUCAAUUUUUAUAUAUAGAAAAUUUAUUGGAUUUUUUUAUUAUUUUUUAAAUAAUUUUCACAAGUGGCACUGAUAUGGCGCAAAUAGGCACCACAUCACAAAAACUAAAAAUAAAAAGCUAGAGUUUAAAUGAUAAAGGUCAAAAAAGUACAGAGCAAGUGAUCAUCAAAGAGGAACAAGAAAGGGCCGCCCCCUUUGUCACUGGCAAGGUUUGGUUGCUUAAUGGUGGCAACAACGUAGCUCGCCACCACUCGAGGAGGCUCGAGUGGCCCUCGCAUGGGCAUCAUCAGCCUCCACUGCAGACCACCGAUGGAAGACCCUUAUAACCUCACAAACGGAUUAAAUUCAAACAUUUGGCAUGUGUAGCUAACUCUAAUUCAAAACAGUUGGUGAGAUUUGAAACGUUGAAUUUCAAUUUCUAAGUUGAAUAUCUCCUGCUUCUAACCAAUUGCACCAACCUUGGGGGGUUGAGUUGCCUUUUCCUAUUAUGUAACUAUCCAUUCAUAGAGCAUGUUAUUUGAUUUACUUUUGAACAAUCAAUUAUGUAAUAUGAAGACAUAACUCCCAAUUAGCAAUGCACUCGAUUACCAUC